CGGUGGCUCAUUCCUAUAAUCCCAGCACUUUGGGAGGCUGAGGUGGGCAGAUCACGAGGUCAGGUGAUCAAGACCAUCCUGGUUAACAAGCAACUGGGAAAUAAAGAAAGCAACAGCACACCUGGUCUCCUAAGCUACAGGCUCUUGCUGCAAGGAGGGACGUUCAUCAGCCUGAACUGGAACUACGGCUCACUUUCCUGUCACAGGGAAUAUUAUUAUAACAAAAUUAAUGGGCUCCAGAUGCAGAUCUAUUCACCUUCUUCCCAUUUCUAUCAAUAAUAUGACACUGUUAAUGUCUUCUGGUAACAUAGUUUUUUUCUCACAAAUGCUAAUAAAGAUAAUAUCUUGAAAUUACAAA